rnacentral:rRNA from 1 species
GGGUGAAAGUCCAGGGCUCAACUCUGGGAUUGCCUUGGAACUGCGUGACUUGAGUACUGGAGAGGCAAGGGGAAUUCCGCGUGUAGCGGUGGAAUGCGUAGAUAUGCGGAGGAAUACCAGUGGCGAAGGCGCCUUGCUGGACAGUGACUGACGCUGAGGCACGAAAGCGUGGGGAGCAAACAGGAUUAGAUACCCUGGUAGUCCACGCCGUAAACGAUGAGUGCUAGGUGUUGGGGGGUACCACCCUCAGUGCCGAAGGAAACCCAAUAAGCACUCCGCCUGGGGAGUACGGUCGCAAGACUGAAACUCAAAGGAAUUGACGGGGGCCCGCACAAGCAGUGGAGCAUGUGGUUUAAUUCGAAGCAACGCGAAGAACCUUACCAGGGCUUGACAUCCCCCUGAUCGUCACAGAGAUGUGGCUUUCCUUCGGGGCAGGGGAGACAGGUGGUGCAUGGUUGUCGUCAGCUCGUGUCGUGAGAUGUUGGGUUAAGUCCCGCAACGAGCGCAACCCUUGAGCUGUGUUACCAGCGCGUAAAGGCGGGGACUCACAGGUGACUGCCGGCGUAAGUCGGAGGAAGGCGGGGAUGACGUCAAAUCAUCAUGCCCUUUAUGUCCUGGGCUACACACGUGCUACAAUGGGCGGAACAACGGGAAGCGAGACCGCGAGGGGGAGCAAAACCCUGAAAACCGUUCGUAGUUCGGAUUGCAGGCUGCAACCCGCCUGCAUGAAGCCGGAAUUGCUAGUAAUCGCGGAUCAGCAUUCCGCGGUGAAUCCGUUCCCGGGCCUUGUACACACCGCCCGUCACACCACGAGAGUCGGCAACACCCGAA